rnacentral:rRNA from 1 species
ACUCCUACGGGAGGCAGCAGUGAGGAAUAUUGGUCAAUGGGCGCAAGCCUGAACCAGCCAUCCCGCGUGCAGGAAGACGGCCCUAUGGGUUGUAAACUGCUUUUCCAGGGAGAGAAACCUGCGCACGUGUUGCGCAAUUGACGGUACCCUGGGAAUAAGCAUCGGCUAACUCCGUGCCAGCAGCCGCGGUAAUACGGAGGAUGCAAGCGUUAUCCGGAUUCAUUGGGUUUAAAGGGUGCGUAGGCGGACUAUUAAGUCAGUGGUGAAAGCCUGCAGCUUAACUGCAGAACUGCCAUUGAUACUGAUAGUCUUGAGUUUGGUUAAGGUAGGCGGAAUGUGUAAUGUAGCGGUGAAAUGCUUAGAUAUUACACAGAACACCGAUUGCGAAGGCAGCUUACUGGGCCAUUACUGACGCUGAUGCACGAAAGCGUGGGGAUCGAACAGGAUUAGAUACCCUGGUAGUC